rnacentral:rRNA from 1 species
UACGAAGGGUGCUAGCGUUGCUCGGAUUGACUGGGCGUAAAGGGCGCGUAGGCGGUUCGUACAGUCAGACGUGAAAUUCCUGGGCUCAACCUGGGGGCUGCGUUUGAUACGUGCGGACUUGAGUGCGGAAGAGGGUCGUGGAAUUCCCAGUGUAGAGGUGAAAUUCGUAGAUAUUGGGAAGAACACCGGUGGCGAAGGCGGCGACCUGGUCCGAUACUGACGCUGAGGCGCGAAAGCGUGGGGAGCAAACAGG